rnacentral:sRNA from 1 species
GCCAGGUGUGGUAGCACACACCUGUAAUCCCAGCUACUUAUGAGGCUGAGGCAGGAGGAUCACAAGUUCAAGGCCAACCUCAGCAACUUAGCAAGAUCCUGUCUCAA